ensembl:lncRNA
CUCUUUUUCCUGGCUUUUUAACCAUUCGACUUACACGAGCCCCAAUCGCCUUUUCCACCCCUUCGUCUUGGUACGACCCUUGGAGUACGGAGCCUGCAGAGGGUCCCACGCUGGAAGACAGAGAGGAGGGUAUGUAGGGAAGCGGGCCAAUCGGGGCGCGGGUCACGGCGCAGGCGCGUUGAGGAGGGAGGGCUAUGCUAAUGUUGUUGAUAUCCUGGGGCCACCCGAGUUAAAGGGGGGAAAUCCGGGGGCUGCCGUAGCCGCCACCAGUCUGGGCCCAGCCGGGGCUCCCUUGUAGUCGCCGUAGUCCCGGGGAGAGGCGCCUGCCCCCAGCUCGGGAGGGGGCGCCGCGGGCCCGGGGAGCGCGGACAACCCCUACCCAUGAGGCCCUGAUGGAAAACACAAAGGAUCUGAGUCGGAGGAGACAUUAGAGGUCACCCAAAGCCGCCGUCCCCUGUGCAGCCUCCCUGACAAGUGCUUUUCAAAAGAUUCAUACUUAAGGAUUCAUAACUGUCUUCUGAAGAACUGAAGGCCCAUUCAUACGAAUUAUUUUAUUUUUCAGACAUCUUCCUGUGUGGUAAGUGGUGUUUUCCUUAUCUAGAAGAGAAGGAAAUUGAGACCCAAAUAAUUGUUACAUCCAAAGUCCUAAGUAAUGAAGUACCAGAACUUGAACCCAAAGAGAUAGAAAUUUAUAUUUUUUAUAUAUCAAAGAUAACUUCCUUUUGCUCACUGUAGCUUUACAUUUUAGAAUAUUGUCAUGUAGAAUACUGUCCUAUCCUUCUCUGGGUACUUUUCAGUUUCUCUGGGUGGGAUAUUCAAGAUAUUAUUGCUUUCAGUUUUAAUCAUUAUAUCACCGGGAUAGAUAUGUUCUCUCACGUUGAACUUGUGGGAAACAAAAGCCCAACAAUCCCAAAUCUUUACUGUUUAUUUUUGUCCUAAUAGUAAGCUUAAGAAGCAUGAAGGCACUUAUGUUUAGCCCAGUAAAUUGUAUUUUGAUAGGGGAAUGAGGAAGAGAAGAGCAAGAACUGAGUAGCUCCAUAGCUUCUCUGUGUCAUUACAGAGUAAAUAUUAAUUCUUAUUUUGAACUUUAUCGGUUUACAUGUACAACUUUCAAACUUAGGAUUCUGGGAAACUUACAUUCCAUGGUUAAAUAUAAAACUUUGACAAUUAUAUGGGCCACUGUACUCUAUUGGUAUGGAUAAUGGAGAAUUGGUUUAACUUUUGAUUAGUUUAUUCAUACUGAGAUUAUAUUAUUAAUUUGUUAUUUAGUCGCUAAGUUGUAUCUGACUCUUUUGUGACCCCAUGGAGUGUAGCCCAUGGGAUUUGCUAGGCAAGAAUACUGGAGUUGGUUGCCAUUUCCUUCUCUGGGGGAUCAUCUUGACCCAGAGAUCAAACUUGCAUCUCCUGUAUUGGCAGGUGGAUUCUUUACCACUGAGCCACCGGGGAAGCCCUAUACUAUUAUUUAUGUGUGCUUGCAUUUAGAGUCUCAAAUGUUUUCUGUAAAAUUUCUCCUGGAGAGGUUUACACUUUUAUUGGAACCUGUGGGUGAUUAUAUGAAUAAGUUAACGGUUAUACCUUUUAAUUCCUUUGUA